ACUCCUACGGGAGGCAGCAGUGGGGAAUAUUGCACAAUGGGCGCAAGCCUGAUGCAGCCAUGCCGCGUGUAUGAAGAAGGCCUUCGGGUUGUAAAGUACUUUCAGCAGUGAGGAAGGUGGAGUCGUUAAUAGCGGCCUCAUUUGACGUUAGCUGCAGAAGAAGCACCGGCUAACUCCGUGCCAGCAGCCGCGGUAAUACGGAGGGUGCGAGCGUUAAUCGGAAUUACUGGGCGUAAAGCGCAUGCAGGUGGUUUGUUAAGUCAGAUGUGAAAGCCCGGGGCUCAACCUCGGAAUUGCAUUUGAAACUGGCAGACUAGAGUACUGUAGAGGGGGGUAGAAUUUCAGGUGUAGCGGUGAAAUGCGUAGAGAUCUGAAGGAAUACCGGUGGCGAAGGCGGCCCCCUGGACAGAUACUGACACUCAGAUGCGAAAGCGUGGGGAGCAAACAGGAUUAGAUACCCUGGUAGAUAGCG
rnacentral:rRNA from 1 species